UACAGAGGUCUCGAGCGUUAGGCGGAAUCACUGGGCUUAAAGCGUGUGUAGGCGGAUCGUUAAGUGCCUUGUGAAAUCCCACGGCUCAACCGUGGAACUGCUUGGCAUACUGGCGGUCUUGAGCAACCUAGGGGCGAGCGGAACAAAUGGUGGAGCGGUGAAAUGCGUAGAUAUCAGGAGGAACACCGGUGGCGAAGGCGGCUACCUGGACAGAAACUGACGCUGAGGCACGAAAGCUAGGGGAGCAAACAGG
rnacentral:rRNA from 1 species